ensembl:lncRNA
GGGGAGGGGCUUGUAACGUCAGUAGUCUAUAGCUAUGUUAUGGAGGGGGAGGGGCUUGUAACGUCAGUAGUCUACAGCUAUGUUAUGGAGGGGGAGGUAGGCUACACACACAUACACUGGCAAAGAUGUUCAGCUGUCAGGCAGAUACUGGAAGACGUUUCUGAUUGACAGAGAGAGGGCUUUGCAUACGUUCUUUGUUGCCUUUUUUUUUUUGUGGGACUAGAACAAAAAAUACCCCGGAACGUAGAAGAACUGUAUUAACCGAUUCCAAUGCUUUUAAAUGAACGGUUCUGUUCCCAGAACAGUAUAGAUCACUUUCAUUCCCGGUUCUGAUUCUGUUCCUUAAAUUUGUUUGUUAUUUUCCGGUUUUCGGUUCUUUUCCCUGAACCGGUUCCAUCCCACGUUACCAACAGCUGCAAAUUCAUAUAAAACCACAUGUUUUGAAGUUCAUUUCCUUGCUUUGUAGAACAAUAUUAUCAUGAAUCUAGCAAAUAAGUUUUGUGGGUCAGAGGUCAAUAUUUAUUUAGUUUCAUAGCACAAAUGUAUGUUAGCGCGUUUCUCAGACUGGCUUUAGCCACGGAUGGAGCAGGCCUGUCCUGGCAAGUGCAGGGAUUUGUGAAUCUGUUAGGAGCGAACCGCAAGCGCCACAGCUGAAAUGGUAAAAAUAAAUAAAUAAAAUGAUUCCAGCUUUAAAUGGAUCAUCCAGAUUAGCUGUUAGCUUUUGUUUUGUUCUCAUCUAAUACUAACAAAUUACAGUAUUCUAUCAUCCUGACAAUAUGGUACUACAGAGAAGAGAGGUUUAGGAGAGGUGUAGGAGAGGAGGAGAGGAGGAGAGGAGGAGAGAGGAGAGCAGUGAGGAGGAGAGAGGAGUGGAGGAGAGAGGAGAGCAGUGAGGAGGAGAGAGGAGUGGAGUGGAGAGGUUUAGGAGAGGAGAGAGGAGAGGAGUGGAGAGGAGGAGAGAGGAGAGGAGUGGAGAGGAGAGAGGUAUGGAGAGGAGAGGAGUGGAGAGGAGAGAGGUUUAGGAGAGGAGAGAGGAGAGGAGUGGAGAGGAGAGAGGUUUAGGAGAGGAGGAGAGAGGAGAGGAGUGAGGAGGAGAGAGAAGAGGAGUGGAGAGGUUUAGGAAAGAAGAGAAGAGAAGAGGAGAGGAGGAGAGAGGAGUGGAGAGGAGAGAAGAGGAGAGAGGAGUGGAGAGGAGAAGAGAAGAGGAGGAGAGGAGUGGAGAGGUUUAGGAGAGGAGAGGUGGAUGACUGGAUAUUUUAGGCAGACAGGGAUAAUAAAGCCUUGGUUGUAUCACUACAGAAGCUGGAGACAGGGAGCGAUGGAGGAGGCGGUACUGAUGAAUUAUUUAUGUCUGGCCAAAGCAUCCAAUUUCCGUUUCAUUCUUUCACAGGGAGUCUGGGACUACUAGCCAGAGAGCUCUGUGAUAUCCCCCCCCCGGCUUGCCUAAUGAUUUAAGUGUUUGUAAUGAGGUUUGGAAGAUGUAUCUGUAGCAAUGAUUUUUUUAAGGAAUAAUAAAUAUUCUUAUAUUUUUCAGCUGUUAUUAAUCAUAGGAUAAGUUGUGCCUUGAAGCCCCAUGUUGUAGACCUACAGUGAGUACUGACGACGUCAUCAAAGAGAGAAAUAAUAGCUAUGUCGUUUGUGUACUUCUCACUGUUGCUCAGCCUCAUUCAUUACAAGUGAUGGAUUGAACCCGUGAUGGAACUCGAAGCAUUCUUUUGGAAUCGACGCUGAGAUUUGUUCAAUUCACAACACUCUGUAGCAUUUUUCUACGUUAGAAAGAGCAAGGUCAGUUUUAAUAAUCUCCUCCUGUACUCAAUGGAUCCUUUGUAGUCUUUACUAUGUGUAGUGUUGAAUAGUGAUGGCUGUAGUGUUGAAUAGUGAUGGCUGUAGUGUUGAAUAGUGAUGGCUGUAGUGUUGAAUAGUGAUGGCUGUAGUGUUGAAUAGUGAUGGCUGUGUAAAUGAAGGCAGUCAGAUCAGAUGCUGCAGUGGGCUG